AGUCCCUCCCCUGCCUUGGUCUGGCUCAGAGCAGGUUUAGCACCGAGAGGAGGGUUUGCCAGCAAAGGGCUUGGCUCGGGUUCAGCUUCCCCCCUUCUUCUGUCCUCUGCCUAAUGUUGGCUCGGGAAAGAAAAAAUCUCCUGGGGCUGCUCUAGGAAAGUCAGCUGAGUCUUCUCAAGAGACGGAGCGGCCGGAGCUGUGAGGAGCUCCUACCAAAUUUCAUGGGCACUGCUGCAUUCCUGCUGCCAUCCCCAGUCAAGGGGGAGCUCCAAAAUCAAGGACAGGAAUUUAUGCUCAAAGUCCUUCUGUAAACCAAGGGCCAGGAUGAAACAGCCUGAGGACCUGUUGAUCCUCCUGUUCAUUCACUACAACUUAAACUGCCUCCAAAGAGGGUGAUCCUGAGUUUCAUCCCUGACCUAAGAGAUGCAGCUGGACCUGUUGCAUCUUUGAU